UACGGAGGGUGCAAGCGUUAUCCGGAUUUACUGGGUUUAAAGGGUGUGUAGGCGGACUUUUAAGUCAGUGGUGAAAUCCCGAGGCUCAACCUCGGAACUGCCUUUGAUACUAUUAGUCUUGAAUCUUGUUGAGGUGGGCGGAACGGGUCAUGUAGCGGUGAAAUGCAUAGAUAUGACCCGGAACACCGAUUGCGAAGGCAGCCCGCUAAGCAAGCAUUGACGCUGAGGCACGAAAGCGUGGGGAUCAAACAGG
rnacentral:rRNA from 1 species